UGAGUGCGAGCUGCUACGGCAGCGAAGUUGGUGAUGUCAUGCUUCCAAGAAAAGCCCUAUACCCGUUAAGGCAUCAUGGCCUGUACCCGAAACCGACACAGGUGGGGUGGUAGAGAAUACCGAGGGGCGCGAGGUAACUCUCUCUAAGGAACUCGGCAAAAUGGCCCCGUAACUUCGGGAGAAGGGGUGCCACCGCAAGGUGGUCGCAGUGAAGAGGCCCAGGCGACUGUUUACCAAAAACACAGGUCUCCGCUAAGUCGCAAGACGAUGUAUGGGGGCUGACGCCUGCCCAGUGCCGGAAGGUUAAGGAAGCUGGUCAGCGCAAGCGAAGCUAGCGACUGAAGCCCCGGUGAACGGCGGCCGUAACUAUAACGGUCCUAAGGUAGCGAAAUUCCUUGUCGGGUAAGUUCCGACCCGCACGAAAGGCGUAACGAUCUGGGCGCUGUCUCGGAGAGAGGCUCGGCGAAAUAGAAUUGUCUGUGAAGAUGCGGACUACGUGCACCCGGACAGAAAGACCCUAUGAAGCUUUACUGUAGCUUGGUAUUGUGCCCGGGCUCGCAAUGCGCAGGAUAGGUGGGAGGCGUUGAAGUUUUCCUUGCGGGUCGAUGUGAGCCAACGGUGAGAUACCACUCUUUGCGAGCUAGGGUUCUAACGGCCACCCGUCAUCCGGGGGCCGGACAGUACCUGGUGGGCAGUUUGACUGGGGCGGUCGCCUCCUAAAAGGUAACGGAGGCGCGCAAAGGUUUGCUCAGGCUGGUUGGAAAUCAGCCGACGAGUGUAAAAGCAGAAGCAAGCUUGACUGUGAGACCAACAAGUCGAACAGGGAGGAAACUCGGCUUUAGUGAUCCGACGGUUCUGAGUGGAAGGGCCGUCGCUCAACGGAUAAAAGUUACUCUAGGAUAACGGGCUGAUCUCCCCCAAGAGUUCACAUCGACGGGGAGGUUUGGCACCUCGAUGUCGGCUCAUCGCAACCUGGGGCUGAAGUCGGUCCCAAGGGUUGGGCUGUUCGCCCAUUAAAGCGGUACGCGAGCUGGGUUCAGAACGUCGUGAGACAGUUCGGUCCAUAUCCGGUGCACGCGCAGGAAUAUUGAGAGGAUUUCUCCCUAGUACGAGAGGACCGGGAGGAACGCACCUCUGGUGUACCAGUUAUCGUGCCAACGGUAAACGCUGGGUAGCCAUGUGCGGAGUGGAUAACCGCUGAAAGCAUCUAAGUGGGAAGCCCACCUCAAGAUGAGUAUUCCCAUGGCGUAAGCCAGUAAGGUCACGGGAAGAACACCCGUUGAUAGGCUCUAUGUGGAAGCGCAGUAAUGCGUGAAGCAGAGGAGUACUAAUAGACCGAGGGCUUGACC
rnacentral:rRNA from 1 species